rnacentral:rRNA from 1 species
UACGAAGGGUGCAAACGUUGCUCGGAAUCAUUGGGCGUAAAGCGCACGUAGGCGGUCUGUUAUGUCGGAUGUGAAAGCCCUUGGCUCAACUGAGGAAGUGCAUCCGAAACUGGCAGGCUAGAGUACUAAAGAGGAUCGCGGAAUUCCCGGUGUAGAGGUGAAAUUCGUAGAUAUCGGGAGGAACACCGGUGGCGAAGGCGGCGAUCUGGGUAGAUACUGACGCUGAGGUGCGAAAGCGUGGGGAGCAAACAGG